UUUUUUUUGGGGGGGAUUUCAUUCCUAGUUAAUUCAACCCUAAAUGAAUAAAGAUUGCUGCUAAUUUGGUUUCACUAGAUUGUUUUGAUAUCAUCUUCAGACGCUGCUUAAUAGCCUCCGACUCAAUGUUUGUCUGCUUCUUUCUCAACAUUCGGAUGGGUUGCAUCUGCCUCAGCGUCCUCAGGUAGAACAAUGUGUUGGUUUCUUCCUCAACAUUCGGAUGGGUUGCAUCUGCCUCAGCGUCCUCAGGUAGAACAAUGUGUUGGUUUCUUCCUCAACAUUCGGAUGGGUUGCAUCUGCCUCAGCGUGCUCAGGUAGAACAAUGUGUUGGUUUCUUCCUCAACAUUCGGAUGGGUUGCAUCUGCCUCAGCGUGCUCAGGUAGAACAAUGUGUUGGUUUCUUCCUCAACAUUCAGAUGGGUUGCAUCUGCCUCAGCGUGCUCAGGUAGAACAAUGUGUUGGUUUCUUCCUCAACAUUCAGAUGGGUUGCAUCUGCCUCAGCGACUCAGGUAGAACAAUGUGUUGGUUUCUUCCUCAACAUUCGGAUGGGUUGUAUCUGUCUCAGCGGCUCAGGUAGAACAAUGUGUUGGUUUCUUCCUCAACAUUCAGAUGGGUUGUAUCUGCCUCAGCGUGCUCAGGUAGAACAAUGUGUUGGUUUAUUCCUCAACAUUCGGAUGGGUUGCAUCUGCCUCAGCGUGCUCAGGUAGAACAAUGUGUUGGUUUCUUCCUCAACAUUCGGAUGGGUUGUAUCUGUCUCAGCGGCUCAGGUAGAACAAUGUGUUGGUUUCUUCCUCAACAUUCAGAUGGGUUGCAUCUGCCUCAGCGUCCUCAGGUAGAACAAUGUGUUGGUUUCUUCCUCAACAUUCAGAUGGGUUGCAUCUGCCUCAGCGUGCUCAGGUAGAACAAUGUGUUGGUUUCUUCCUCAACAUUCAGAUGGGUUGCAUCUGCCUCAGCGUGCUCAGGUAGAACAAUGUGUUGGUUUCUUCCUCAACAUUCAGAUGGGUUGCAUCUGCCUCAGCGUGCUCAGGUAGAACAAUGUGUUGGUUUCUUCCUCAACAUUCAGAUGGGUUGCAUCUGCCUCAGCGUGCUCAGGUAGAACAAUGUGUUGGCUUCUUCCCACGUGUCUGUUUCAUAUCAAAAUCGUAAGCUUGUUGAUCUAGUUUUGAAUAAAGAAUGUUUGAAUAAAGAAUAAAUAAAUUCUG